UCGGAUAUGGUGUAACGGCUAACAUUGCCGCCUCUCAUUCUUACGAGAGCUGGUAUUCUUUCGCGGCAGCUCGGGGUUCGAUUCCCCGUAUCCGAA